CACGUAGGGCGCAAGCGUUGUCCGGAAUUAUUGGGCGUAAAGAGCUCGUAGGCGGUCUGUUGCGUCUGCUGUGAAAACCCGGGGCUUAACCCCUGGCUUGCAGUGGAUACGGACAGACUAGAGGUAGGUAGGGGAGAAUGGAAUUCCCGGUGUAGCGGUGAAAUGCGCAGAUAUCGGGAGGAACACCGAUGGCGAAGGCAGCUUGCUGGGACGGUACUGACGCUGAGACGCGAAAGCGUGGGGAGCAAACAGG
rnacentral:rRNA from 1 species